UUGAACGCUGGCGGCAUGCUUUACACAUGCAAGUCGAACGGUAACAGGCCUUCGGGUGCUGCCGAGUGGCGAACGGGUGAGUAAUGCAUCGGAACGUGCCCAGAGGUGGGGGAUAACGCAGCGAAAGCUGUGCUAAUACCGCAUGUGAUCUGAGGAUGAAAGCGCGGGACCAGGCAGCAAUGUUUGGCCUCGCGCCUUUGGAGCGGCCGAUGUCAGAUUAGGUAGUUGGUGGGGUAAAGGCCUACCAAGCCGACGAUCUGUAGCUGGUCUGAGAGGACGACCAGCCACACUGGGACUGAGACACGGCCCAGACUCCUACGGGAGGCAGCAGUGGGGAAUUUUGGACAAUGGGCGCAAGCCUGAUCCAGCAAUGCCGCGUGCGGGAAGAAGGCCUUCGGGUUGUAAACCGCUUUUGUACGGAACGAAAAGGCUCUGGCUAAUACCUGGGGCUGAUGACGGUACCGUAAGAAUAAGCACCGGCUAACUACGUG
rnacentral:rRNA from 1 species